UCAUGUUGGUUUUUUGUUGGU
rnacentral:piRNA from 1 species